UACGGAGGGUGCAAGCGUUGUCCGGAAUCACUGGGCGUAAAGGGCGCGUAGGCGGCUCAUGAAGGCUGUGGUGAAAGUCCGGGGCUUAACCUCGGAUCGGCCGUGGCGACUCGUGGGCUGGAGCACUGUAGAGGCGGUGGAAUUCCGGGUGUAGCGGUGGAAUGCGUAGAUAUCAGGAGGAACACCGGUGGUGUAAACGGCUUUCUGGACCAUAACUGACACUGAGGCACGAAGCGUGGUAGCAAACAGG
rnacentral:rRNA from 1 species